UUAGGGCACUGGAAGGUCCCUAAACCGAAAGGGGCUCUGCCCGCCCGAGGAUGGGCCGGCGGCCGAUUAGGUAGUUGGUGGGGUAACGGCCCACCAAGCCCAUAAUCGGUACGGGCAGUGAGAGCUGGAGCCCGGAGAUGGACACUGAGACACGGGUCCAGGCCCUACGGGGCGCAGCAGGCGCGAAACCUCCGCAAUGCUCGAAAGAGCGACGGGGGGACCCCAAGUGCCGUGGUACAACCACGGCUUUUCCGGAGUGUAAGAAGCUCCGGGAAUAAGGGCUGGGCAAGGCCGGUGGCAGCCGCCGCGGUAAUACCGGCGGCCCGAGUGGUGGCCACUAUUAUUGGGCCUAAAGCGUCCGUAGCCGGGCUUGUAAGUCCCUGGCGAAAUCCCACGGCUCAACCGUGGGGCUUGCUGGGGAUACUGCAAGCCUUGGGACCGGGAGAGGCCGGGGGUACUCCUGGGGUAGGGGUGAAAUCCUAUAAUCCCAGGAGGACCGCCAGUGGCGAAGGCGCCCGGCUGGAACGGGUCCGACGGUGAGGGACGAAGGCCAGGGGAGCAAACCGGAUUAGAUACCCGGGUAGUCCUGGCUGUAAAGGAUGCGGGCUAGGUGUUGCUUGGACCUCGAGUCCAAGCAGUGCCGCAGGGAAGCCGUU
rnacentral:rRNA from 1 species